rnacentral:tRNA from 1 species
GAAGGUAUAGCUCAGUGGUAGAGUGUCUGCUUAGCAUGCAUGAGGUCCUGGGUUCAAUCCCCAGUACCUCCA